rnacentral:rRNA from 1 species
GACGAACGCUGGCGGCGUGCUUAACACAUGCAAGUCGAACGGAAAGGCCCUGCUUUUGUGGGGUGCUCGAGUGGCGAACGGGUGAGUAACACGUGAGUAACCUGCCCUUGACUUUGGGAUAACUUCAGGAAACUGGGGCUAAUACCGGAUAGGAGCUCCUGUUGCAUGGUGGGGGUUGGAAAGUUUCGGCGGUUGGGGAUGGACUCGCGGCUUAUCAGCUUGUUGGUGGGGUAGUGGCUUACCAAGGCUUUGACGGGUAGCCGGCCUGAGAGGGUGACCGGCCACAUUGGGACUGAGAUACGGCCCAGACGCCUACGGGAGGCAGCAGUGGGGAAUAUUGCACAAUGGGCGGAAGCCUGAUGCAGCAACGCCGCGUGCGGGAUGACGGCCUUCGGGUUGUAAACCGCUUUCGCCUGUGACGAAGCGUGAGUGACGGUAAUGGGUAAAGAAGCACCGGCUAACUACGUG